rnacentral:rRNA from 1 species
GAUGAACGCUGGCGGCGUGCCUAAUACAUGCAAGUCGAGCGAACGGACGAGAAGCUUGCUUCUCUGAUGUUAGCGGCGGACGGGUGAGUAACACGUGGAUAACCUACCUAUAAGACUGGGAUAACUUCGGGAAACCGGAGCUAAUACUGGAUAAUAUUUUGAACCGCAUGGUUCAAAAGUGAAAGACGGUCUUGCUGUCACUUAUAGAUGGAUCCGCGCUGCAUUAGCUAGUUGGUAAGGUAACGGCUUACCAAGGCAACGAUGCAUAGCCGACCUGAGAGGGUGAUCGGCCACACUGGAACUGAGACACGGUCCAGACUCCUACGGGAGGCAGCAGUAGGGAAUCUUCCGCAAUGGGCGAAAGCCUGACGGAGCAACGCCGCGUGAGUGAUGAAGGUCUUCGGAUCGUAAAACUCUGUUAUUAGGGAAGAACAUAUGUGUAAGUAACUGUGCACAUCUUGACGGUACCUAAUCAGAAAGCCACGGCUAACUACGUG